AUGCAAGUCGAGGGGCAGCAUGGUCUUAGCUUGCUAAGGCCGAUGGCGACCGGCGCACGGGUGAGUAACACGUAUCCAACCUGCCGUCUACUCUUGGACAGCCUUCUGAAAGGAAGAUUAAUACAAGAUGGCAUCAUGAGUCCGCAUGUUCACAUGAUUAAAGGUAUUCCGGUAGACGAUGGGGAUGCGUCCCAUUAGAUAGUAGGCGGGGUAACGGCCCACCUAGUCUUCGAUGGAUAGGGGUUCUGAGAGGAAGGUCCCCCACAUUGGAACUGAGACACGGUCCAAACUCCUACGGGAGGCAGCAGUGAGGAAUAUUGGUCAAUGGGCGAGAGCCUGAACCAGCCAAGUAGCGUGAAGGAUGACUGCCCUAUGGGUUGUAAACUUCUUUUAUAAAGGAAUAAAGUCGGGUAUGGAUACCCGUUUGCAUGUACUUUAUGAAUAAGGAUCGGCUAACUCCGUGCCAGCAGCCGCGGUAAUACGGAGGAUCCGAGCGUUAUCCGGAUUUAUUGGGUUUAAAGGGAGCGUAGAUGGAUGUUUAAGUCAGUUGUGAAAGUUUGCGGCUCAACCGUAAAAUUGCAGUUGAUACUGGAUAUCUUGAGUGCAGUUGAGGCAGGCGGAAUUCGUGGUGUAGCGGUGAAAUGCUUAGAUAUCACGAAGAA
rnacentral:rRNA from 1 species